UAGAGACUCUCAGCCGCAUCUCCUCUCCAAAAACCAUCGCCGCCCGCCUCCAAAGUCGCCGGAACUCGCCCAACCCGGUGAGUUCACCCACUGGUCUCCUCAUGGCCCCCCUUCUCUCUUCUACUUCUUCCACAUAGCAAAACUCCAACAAAUCUCUUCAUUACCACACAUUUUUUUCUUUUAUCUUUCUUCGUCUAAACAAAAUUCCGGACCCUUGAAUAAAUCUGGGAAGAAUGGAAAUCGUUGGAUGGAAUUUUUGUCCAAAAAUCUCUAUUUUUUCGAUUUUUAUUUGUAAAAGGGGAUUUUCGGAUUUGAUCUUGUGGUGCCAUAUGAUUUCUUGCUGAAGAAGGAGAAGCUUCGAGAGAAGGCUAUAUAUUUGGAGGAUUUCGGACAGAGAGGGGAGAAGAAGAAAGGUUUGGGAGACGCUAGUGUUUUUCUGAGUUUUUUCCUUCCAAUUUUCAGUCAUUUGGGUAAAAUUUUAGAGUUCUCUUUGAGUCUUUCUUUCAUCUUCGAAACAGAAAAUACAAGAAAAGUAUAUUAGCUUCUGAUUUGUUUAACAAGCAUGGAGUUUAGCUGAUGUCUGUUGACUGCUCGUGAGGUUCUUGAUCGUGGUUCCAAAUCCAUUUUUGUUGUUUUUUUGUCCUUCUACUGGUUCGCGAUAUUGCUGUUAUUUUGCUUGAAUUUGGAGUAAAAGCUUUGUAUACGCCAAAUCUUCUGUUCUAUCGAAAGCUUAAGCUUCAACAGGUUCAAUGUGAUUUUAGUUAGGUUGGGUCUUCCUCCGUUACUUGUGUUCUAUUUUAUUUUCAUGCUUCAAUGUCUAUGUAUUCCAGUCUGUUCUGUUUGGACAUGUUGGAUGGCUAUAUGAUUUACUUCCAUUAUCAGUGAAUUAGUAUCGAAUUGCGUCGAGUUUCACAUGAAUAUGCAGUAUCUCCCAUUAGUUUUCUUUCUUGAAUCCCAACUGAUUCUUCGAUUGUACAUGUACUAAUUCACUUGUCGAUGAAGACCUAUACUUGUGUUCUGUUUUAUUUUCAUGCUUCAAUGUCUAUGUAUUCCAGUCUGUUCUGUUUGGACAUGUUGGAUGGCUAUAUGAUUUACUUCCAUUAUCAGUGAAUUAGUAUCGAAUUGCGUCGAGUUUCACAUGAAUAUGCAGUAUCUCCCAUUAGUUUUCUUUCUUGAAUCCCAACUGAUUCUUCGAUUGUACAUGUACUAAUUCACUUGUCGAUGAAGACCUAUACUUGUGUUCUGUUUUAUUUUCAUGCUUCAAUGUCUAUGUAUUCCAGUCUGUUCUGUUUGGACAUGUUGGAUGGCUAUAUGAUUUACUUUCAUUAUCAGUGAAUUAGUAUCGAAUUGCUUCGAGUUUCACAUGAAUAUGCAGUAUGUCCCAUUAGUUUUCUUUCUUGAAUCCCAACUGAUUCUUCGUUUGUACAUGUACUAAUUCACUUGUCGAUGAAGACCUAUAACCCCCCCCCCNNNNNNNNNNNNNNNNNNNNNNNNNNNNNNNNNNNNNNNNNNNNNNNNNNNNNNNNNCUCCAGGUUUGAAUCGGUGUUGGCAGUACGUGCAUUGUUGCUCUGGUUUAUUGUGUAAAUCUGCUUAGCUUUACUGUUUAGUGUCGAGUUUUCAACUCCAUUGGAAGUUAACCUCCAUGUUUCAAGAGCCAUGUGCUCGACAACUCCUUCGAGGGCUCCUGUUUGUGUGGCUGAUCUGAGUGAAAUGAUCUCAUAGAUCUCGGCAUUGCUGUUUGAUCACCAUUAAUCCAUUUUGCUUAAUCCAUGCUUCAAUUACCAGUUUAGUCGAAUUCCCUUAGCGUCGAGGUGAUAAUGUUGUUUGGAUGUUAUUUCACCAUUUAGUCGGGUUAAUCUCCUGUUUAGUUGUCACUGUGAGAUCUAAGAUAAGUUUCUUCAAUCCCCUCCAAUGCCUUGAACCAUCAGUCGAGUUUGUUCAUUACGGAAUCAUGGAGUUUUGCUUAAUUGAGUCAUGGCUAGUUU
rnacentral:lncRNA from 1 species